rnacentral:rRNA from 1 species
AACUGCUGACAAUGGAUCUCUGGGCUCUUGCGCCGAUGAAGAACGCAGCAAAACGCGAAAUGUGUUAUGAUGUGCAGUCUUUGUGAAUCAUGAAUAUUUGAACGCACCUUGCACCUGGCGUAGCAAUACGGGAGGUAUGCCUGUUUGAGCGAUGUG